UACGGAGGGUGCGAGCGUUGUCCGGAAUCACUGGGCGUAAAGGGCGCGUAGGCGGCCUGAUAAGUAGGGGGUGAAAUCCUGCGGCUUAACCGCAGGGCUGCCUUCUAAACUGUCGGGCUAGAGCACGGUAGAGGCAGAUGGAAUUCCCGGUGUAGCGGUGGAAUGCGUAGAGAUCGGGAAGAACAUCAGUGGCGAAGGCGGUCUGCUGGGCCGUUGCUGACGCUGAGGCGCGACAGCAUGGGGAGCGAACAGG
rnacentral:rRNA from 1 species